GCCUGGAAAGCUGUCCAGCCUACACCGCGACCACCUUGGGUGGAGAAUACAAGUUUGUAAACUACCUGGGCAUGAUGUCAGACUUGUCUACUUCGCCUUUUGCAUGUUGGGAGGAAAUUCAUUUAACCUGAAGAUAAAUUACAGUAUUGGGAUCAAAGCAAGAACACACAGGUAGAGUGGCCACUGACACAUCCCCAGAAUACAGGACAUCCCCUUGGUAAGGUGUGGGACCACUGGCCCUCUCAACCAAUCAGCGAUGAGGGGCAGGGCUGAUACCUCCUUGGCCAAUCA